GACAGAGGUGCCGAGCGUUAGGCGGAAUCACUGGGCUUAAAGCGUGUGUAGGCGGGCCGUUAAGUAUCUUGUGAAAUCCCCCGGCUCAACCGGGGAAUGGCUGGAUAUACUGGCGGUCUUGAGCGAUCUAGGGGCAGAUGGAACAAGUGGUGGAGCGGUGAAAUGCGUAGAUAUCACUUGGAACGCCAAAGGUGAAAACAGUCUGCUGGGGAUCUGCUGACGCUGAGGCGCGAAAGCCAGGGGAGCAAACGGG
rnacentral:rRNA from 1 species